rnacentral:lncRNA from 1 species
GGCGGUGUCACGGAGCGCCGCUCGGCGCCUAUCGCGAUCCGCCGAGGGGUGACAUGGAAACAGGCACCAAAAAAUAGCAGAGCCAAUGACGAACGGCGGCCGGGUGACAGAGCGGAGCGCUCCGGAGGCGGAGAGGAGGAGCAGAGCAGUUGCCAAGUGAUCUUCUCCACAGCACCCACGAACUUUGGCCUUACACUGAAGAGGACUCGUCAAAUGCUUUGGGAGAUACAACACGGAAUUGGAAGAGAAGCAUGGAUCUACCUGAAGGGCAGUUCGCUGCAUUCUUGGUGUGUGGAGGAACGGGUCCCGUGCUCACUGUUGUUACUCCCACAUAGGCGGACUCUGUAACUGAUUAUAUGUGGGUAGGGCCCUAUUGAAAUUAAGGAGAUUCUGCAGUAGUGCGGGGUUCUGUUUGUGUGACCCUACUGUGCCUUCUUACUGUGAAUUCUGUCAGUGUAUCAUGGGUUGUGCUGGAACCUGCCUUUUGGGAUAAUGUAAGUUCUGCCUUUCCCCCAAAUGUACUUUAGACGUGAAAUAAUCAUUAAAAAAAAAGUUUUGAAUUAGAAAAUAAAUAUAAUUUACAUGCGUUCUUUUAAUUAUGUUUUUUUGGCAGUACCAAAUAAUAUAUUCCUCAAAACUUCUUAAUGGCACUGAGGCUUUGUGGAUAGUUGGUCACAUGAUGAGAAAAUUCAGCUGUAAGUACACUGAAAUGAUUGAAUUUUUCAAUAGUUAGUCUUUGCUGAUGUUGACAGACUAAUAAUGAUAAAAGGGUUAAUCAAGAGGUGUGAUUUAUGUGUGACUCCGGUUCUUUUUAGAAAAUCCAUACAAUAUAUCCAUUAAGGAUAUCAUUAUUCUUGGAUAAUUCACCACGUGAACCCGGAGUCCUUCAGCACUGCUGUUAGGUAGGGAGUUUUCAUUUGUUUAUUUCCUUUGCUUUCAGAAGAGUGUGUUUCUGAGCUGCUCUCUAUCUUCACCCAUAAAAUUUUCCAAAUUUAUAGAUCUAUAAAAACCGUUUAUGCCUCCAAUAUUUGUGUAGCUACUGCAAGCAGAUUUACUAACAUAAUUGUCUUGCUGAGUUGAACGUUGAAAUGUUAAUAAAUAUAUACUUAUGCUCAUGUCAAAGUAACUUGGUUAAAUUAAACUAAACUGAUCUGACGUUAUGAGUGGCAAUUUGAUCACACAUGCUGAUUAAUUAUAGGCUUCUUAGGCAAGAACUGUAUAUUUUAUUUUAACUAAGUACCCUGUGCUUAAUCGGUAAUAAUUAUCCAUACCCUUUGUCAGUGGAUUCACCCAAAAUAACUAUAAAUAUACUUGUAUUGAAGAGGAAGUUUUUUGCUUGUAUCUAUGGGUACAGGCAUUGCUAUGAUUCCUAUUUUUAUAUCCAAGAGAGCAAAAAUUAUGUGUAGGUGUUUUACCUGUGUAACGCUAAUGGCUUUAUAAACUCCAUGCCCUUUUUUUUAUGAUGGUGUAUUUCCUUUCUGGUGUUCAAGUACAAAAAUGUUCUGAAGGCAAUCUUGUAUCUGGAAGAUGGAAGAACUAGAAUUGGUAUUGAAUCUGUGAGUAAUUAUUAAGGAAGUGUGAAGCUGUAGAGGAUUUGUAGGCAUGGCCAAUUAGAUAUUCCUUCAUGUAGAGCAAAGAUGCAGACAGUGAUUGGGGAGUAAAGAAAAAGAGAUUGUAGAAUUAUUUUUUUGCUUGGCACAAAAGUAACAUUAAAUGAAUUUGAAGAAAGAGCAAGACCAAAGAAGAGAUCAUAACCAGAUCAAAAGCAGACUUGAGAGUCCAAUUAACAAACAAAUGAACAAACAAACAAAAUAAAACUCAAAAAGAAACAAGGAACUAAACAGAAGAAUAUAUGGCAAAAAUAUGCCCAGAAGGAGAACUGAAUGUGUAGCUACUGGUACCUUUCAUUUCAUCAAAUAUCUGGUUGAUUUACCUAUCUAUUUAAUUUAAAACUUCCAGGAAAUGUCUUUCUCUACAGUUCUCUGCAGUUUUUUUGGAGGGGUCGUGUGGGCUUUGGAGAGUUAGUGACUGUGAAUUACCUGUAUAAACAGAGUAUUUGAGAUGACAACUGCAACUAAGAACAGAGGUCGAUGGUCUACAUAUGCUAAAAUGUGGCUAGUGCUAAGCAGAAGAAAGAGUUUCUUGUUCAAACUCAUAACUUAACUAUUUUAAAUUUGAACAUCUCAAAGAGAGCUCAAAACCCAAUGGGAUUAUUUUGGUUACGGGAUGUUACGGUGCUUCUUUUAUAAUUUCUGAACACAAAAAUGAAAUGGAGUUAUUUUUUAAUAUGAGAUGAAACCAUAGUUUGAGAACAUUGAAUGUUUCUCCUGAAUAAUGAGAACACUGAAUAUUUCACUUUGCAUCUAAAAUCUUGAAUGAUAUUUUUUUUGUUUGUUUGUUUAAAAAGCACAGUUCUAAUAGUUGACUGUUUUCAUCUUUUAGUUCUAUAUGCCAUAUUUAUUCUUACUUCCCCUAAGUUGUGCAAAGGAAAGAAAAGGAGAGAGAGAUCAGGUGAUUGCACAGCAACCAAACCCAGCCUCCUAUGUUCCCUCUCCACACCAGAUUGAAAAAAAAAAGUGCCUCAGAAAAGAUCUGGUUUCAGAAGAGAUAAAGAAGCAAGGUGAUAUAUUAGUGGGGUAUGAGGAGGCCCCUGGAUGUUUCAUAUGUCUCCAAGUUUUUCAGUCAUCUCUACGGAGGGCAGCUCAUACACAUCUGACUGCAUCUCCUUCCUGAGAGAGCAACUUCCCUGUGCUUUGAGAGAAAGAAUGUAGGGGCACAGCUCUAUUCUGCCUGAGGUAAUGCUGCUACAAAACACUGUUUGGAAGAAAAGGAACUCUGAAUUGUCUCCUGCUGUAUGUCUCCAGUACUCACGGCUGCUAACCCGUGUGGUUGAGCACCUGAUCUGCUUGUUCCUUUAGUUCAACCCAUUCUGUGCUGUUGUAAAUGACUAAAACUAGGAAACAGCAAGAAAGCAGACACGAAGAGAUCUUGUUGAUGUUUGUGGAAUUUAGGGUGUGGGCAUUUGCUACAUGGGCACACUUUAUGUAGGUUUGGGAAUACUUCAAGGGCUGGAAAUACCAAACUAGAGCAAAGGAGAGUAAUUUUCCUUCAGUGGCAAGCUGAAAUGAUAGCCUUGGUUCUGUACAAUAAGGAGGAAGAGGAAAGGAAUGUGCCUGAAUGUUCAGCAUGUUAGUUGUUUUAACUUUAAGCUGUAAGAUCUUUUUCUCCACUGCUGUUUGCGCUUGGCUUGUAUCACCAAUGUCCUGUCUUUGAGCUGGAUGUAGCAUGUUUUUGUUUGCUGAAUGAGGCACCCAUCAAAUUACAUUCUCAUGAACAUUCUUCUUCUUCAGUCCUUGAAAGUCAAAACAUGGUAGCUCAGGUAGCUGUAAUAACCCAGUAAUAAAUGUGGCGUGAAAGAAUUUUCUUAUUUCAUAGUACAGGAAGAACAGUGUUUUAUGUGUCACUUCAUAUACCUCCUCCCAUCUUCUUUUUUACUCCUAAGCAGAUCUAAUGCAUGAAAAUUUUCUUCAGCGUUGUCCUCAGUUCUUUAUUUCCAGUUACAACUUUUGUUAGCAAUUUUUUCAUAUUUUUGGUUGGGGUCCUCACAAAACCUCUCUGCAUCCUCGGUGAAUGACACCAUCAUGCUGUUGUUUGCUUUAAGUCAUCAAACCUAGGCUAAAUCUUAGUUUUUGGAAAUCUUUUUCCAAUCCUUCAGGGAUGCUCUUUCUUCUCUGUUGGUUGCUUGUAUUUUUCAUCCAGGUUUUCCAUGGAUCAUAUCGUUAUUAGAAAAUCUUCUUCUUUUGCCUUGACAAAUGUAGUCUUGUCAUUAUGCGUUCCAAGUGCUGCUGUAAAUAUCAGUUUCCAGAUUUACUCCUUUGGCUUUUUAAACUUCCUCCUUCAAUUGAAAGCAAUAAAGAUAAGCUAUCUGUCUUUGUUUUCAAGGCCCAUCAAGACUACUUCUACCUGAUACCUUUCCUUCAGUAUCAAGAGGUUGACUCUGAUUUUGAUCAACAUAUGAUGCCAGCUUCCAUCAUUCAGUUGUUAUAUUUUCACACUGGAUACUUUCUCCUCAGCUGCCUCUCGUGUAGUAGUUGACUCCUUCUUAAACAGAACUGUUUGCUGUCUCCCUUUAAUAUCUUCUUGAAAGUUUUAUGUACUGUGAAGCUUAUGACAAUCCAACUAGAAAAUAAGUAUGUUGUACAAGUAUACUAAUACCGAUGCUUGUCACAGUAAUACUUUGUCAUUGCCUUUGUACUCUGCAGUAAUCUCUGUUGUCUCUUCACGUAGAAUUCAUGUGGACUUUUUGUUGUAUGCUUAUUCAUGGCCCAGCAUAACGAGAAGUGGUCCAGGGUGUAGCCUUCUAGGAUUUGUGGUAAUGCAAAUAAAUAAUAAUGAACACUUGUUGGAUACUGCAGUGUAGCCUCUGGAUUCUGCUGAGCCCUGACUCGCAUCAUACUUAAUGCAGAAAUAAGGUGCUCACAAAAAUAGGGGCCUCACAAAAGGGAGAGAAGUGAGUUUCAGCCAACACAGAAAAUGCUAGCACCCCAGAAGUCUUCUCAGCUGUCGAACCCAAGUCAAUAGCUACUGGCAUUGUGUCCAGAAAGCACCCCUCUUUAUCUUCUCCACAGCAGUAACAGCAGACUCUCCCUCCUCAGAGGAAGUUAAUGUGAGUAUUAUGAAUCCUCAGUGUAUACAAGAGAUUAAAGGACUUCAUAUACUUCCAUAGUGUCAUUCUGCUACUUAGUGCCUUCCCUUCCUGACACAGCAUCUCUUGGUACAGAAAUCUUGAAUAACCACAGGCCAUUCUGUUGGUCAGUCCUUGUCAAAUGCCACUUGGUUCUCUGUUGAGAAGGAACCUGCACUAGUUUUGAUUCGGUAUCAAGGUACAUUGCUACCUGAUACUGCUCUGUUUCCCUGGUACCUUGAAGAUAAUGAUUCUUCAGAAGAGUGGUAAGCGUGAAUCGCAACAGGAAUUCCUCAGGUAUGUUGCUCUCUUUCUGGAAGUGGGUCUGCAUGUGCCCCUUUUCCUUCUUUCAAAGUGACACCAAAAUAUCAGCGUUUAGAUGAUAACAGAGAUGAUGAAAUGUUAGUGCCUUGCUGAUAGAGAAAUGAUAGAUUGGUCUGUUGGUCUCUAUAUGCUAACUAGUCAAAUAAGUUAAAUUUAUCAGACUAAACCAUAAAAUAUAAUUACAAGUGGUUCCAUAUCUGAGCAGGAGAAGCCUGGCAAGAGCUCUGAAUGAGCUGACAGAGUGGACACAGUGACCGUGAAAUACAGCAGGAGGCCAGAGAGGCUAUACAACUGAGAAGCUCGAUAGUAACAAGAGUUUUCAGUUUUCAAACUAUGGUCUGGAUAAGCUUAACAUUAGGGCAUCAUGCAUAAGCUGUGUUUUUAACUACCAUCAAGAACUAACUUUUGAGCAAACUAUCCAGAGAAUCCAGUAGAACGAGGACAGCUCUUGAGUUCGUUUAGAUUAGUAACCAGGAUUUGGUUGACAGAGUAACUAUAGGAAAGACAUUUGGUAGUGGUACAUCACAUCAAACUGAAGUUUGUCGUAUUUGCAUGAGAGAAAAAGAUAAAAAUAAAUAAACAAUCCAGUAUUGUUUAACUGUAAAAAAGAACUGCAUACAAAUGAAGAAAUCGUUCAAGUAAAAAUUGUAAGAGGCUAAGAGAGACACAGAGUGUUUGUUUUCUAAUUCUGACCCAAGUGAAUAAGAAUUCAUGACAACUGAGCAGUAAGGGAAGUUACGAGGAACAAAUAGAUGUUUUUCAAAAAGUGAAAUCCAAACAAGCAAAGAGGAGAAGAGCACAGUUCUGGGAAGUUAAAUGUAGACCUAUUCUAAGGAGGGACAAAAAGAUUUUGAGGAGCAAUAGGCUAAAAUCAUAAAAGCAAAAAGAAAAAUCUAUAAGUGUAAACUUUUCAGUUAAUUCUGCUAGCAGGACACCGAGUUCCAGAGACAGAAUAUUUAAAGGCAAAGCCACUACAGAAAGAAACAUAUGGACAAACCCUUGCAUUGGCAGAGUUUAUUCCAGGGAGAUUAGGUACAGUCCCAUAUAAAAGUUGUUCUUUAUAAGAAGUAUUUCAAUUUUUAAAUAUCAAUAAAAGAUUUUUGAACAACUUGAUUAAAUGGGCAUUAGCAGAUUGCCAGAUAGCACGAUGUUCUUUCGGUAGUUGCAGAGAAAUUCAGAAAUAAAACUGGUUAUCUGUGAACUGUGUUGUAUUAUCUAUCAUUUAAAUUGGUGUUGAUGACAGAGGAAUGGAAAGCAGCAAAUGUGACCAUGUUAAAAAGGUCUCUAGGGACGAUCGUGGACUAAUGUACUAAUAAGUCUGACUUCCAUGGCAGGCAAAAUGCCAGUGAAUGUGAUAAAGAAUAUAAUUAAUAGGAACACGUGUGGCUGUAAUAGGCAACCAUCACCUUGACUUUCUGUACAGGGUAGUUUUGUCUUACGGCUUCGCUUAUUGUUUGAAGCAGUAAACAGACACAUGGGCAUGGGUCACCCAAAAAGCUUUUAAAAAGGUCUAUCACCAAAGAAUGUUAACACAGUGAAGUGUUGAGAUACGUAAGAUUCCUUGUGGAUUAAUAAACGGUUACAAGAUAAAGAAGACUAUAGCAACUAGUAGGUGGCUUUAAUGACACCACCUCCCAGCAAUUUGUACUGGCACCUUUUCUGGUCCACCUGUUCCUAAAUGGUAUGAAAAAGUGCAGUGAUAAUGCUUAGAGACGAUAAAAGGCUACUGUGCAUUUGGAGUCAGAGCUGACGUUGGCCCUGAAGAGUUGCAGAAGGAUCUCACAGCACGGGCUGUGGUGCUGCAGGAGCCACGGCUGUCCCAGAGGCCAGGUAUGACUGACCCACUGUUAAACCAGACCUGUCAGCAGAGAGGGUCAUUACCUCAUCAUCUGUCAGCUCUGCAGGCUGCAGCCAGGCCUGCUGCUCAGGAAGGCAUGGACUUGCAGCUGUUCUAACAGGAGCUGCAACUUGGAAGUUCUACUUCCCUAUUUCUUAGGGUUUCACAGCCUUAGGUGAGCUUGAAAUACAGACUUUGAUCCUGGCAUUCCUGCCUGUCACAGAGGUGAAGUUUAAUUGUUAAGCUGAUGGCUGCUGUCUGGCUGCUGUGAAAAGCCUGGGUUCUCAAGCCUUUUCCUAAUGCUUGUGUGGAUUUUUAGCAGCUCUUGCUGAUUUCUUGAAAUCAUUCCGGAUGGAUUUGAUGCAAUAUGGUACUUGAAACAAAGGAGUCAUGCUGGCAUACCAGUCAGUUUUGAGCACUGAUGAGAAUUAUAUAAAAAACAGACACGGAUGAUGAAGAUAUGGCACAGCUAUUGUGCAGGGACAGUAACAGAAUCAGGAUUCUUCAUUUUGGAAAAAUGCUGGCUGAGGAGUCAUAACAUGAGAAAGAUCUCUAAAACCACGAAUAUGUGGAAGCAUUUAAUAGGAGACUCUAACUCUUUAUUUCUUAGAAUAGAAUAACAAGGAGCCCUUGGUCACUGUUUUCUGUAUCUUAGGUGACCUUUAUGAUAGCAGAAGAUACCAGUUUCAUCUGCCAUAGUUCUGUGGCACAAAACUGCACAUCUGUUUGUCCUGGACCAGCCGUGGCCAAAACCCAACCUGUGUAGAAUUACAGCUUUUCUGUAAAUAAAAGCUCGUAGGCCUUGUUGUCUGAUGAUAAAUUUUCAAAUAUGAAUCAAAUGUAAAUUGGUCCCUUUUUCCUAAACCUGAAAGAUAUACAUAUAUUUAUUGAUAUCUAAACUAUGCUUCUGUCUAUUCCUUUGUCUGGCAGUAGUAAUGUUAUGGUCAUAUUGGCCUUACUUCUCCUGUUUACAAAUGUAUGGGCGAAGGAGAUUGCCAGUUUGCUGCUACUUCAGAAAGCCAGAAGCAAAUAGCAGGUCCUAAAAUCAGUCUCAAGGGAAAUCAGAUAGAGGAGCAGUAACGUUUAACACAGCAACCAGAAGGUCAGGAGGGAGGGAGGGAGCAGGGAACAUCAUCGUAUUUCUGACGUGGCAGGAAUGGUUUUCAAGCUGUGGUCCACUAAGCCCUAAUGGGUUACAGGGCUAUGGUAAGUUGAACAGCCUUUGGGCUAAACCAUAUCUAAUGGUGCUUUAAAUAGUGCCUUCAAUUAAAAGUUUAAUCAGGUGGGAGUGUGCUGUUUUGUGAAAAAUGUUAAGGGCUGACAGCAAUCUAUUGCUCCAGAAAUUUGGGCUCUGCUCUUCUGCUGUGUAUGAAAAGGCAGAGAGCACUGCCUGCUUUUUCAACAUUAGAUAGGCCACAUGCCUCUGCAGGAGAAGCAUAGAAUCAUAGAAUCGCCAAGGUUGGAAAAGACCCACAGGAUCAUCCAGUCCAACCAUCCGCCCUUCACCAAUGGUUCCCGCUAAACCAUGUCCCUCAACACAACAUCCAAACGCUCUUUGAACACCACCAGGCUCGGUGACUCCACCACCUCUCUGGGCAGCCCAUUCCAGUGCCUGACCACCCUUUCAGAGAAGUAGUAUUUCCUAACGUCCAGCCUGAAGCAGCAGCAAGAGAUUCCCAGAGGGAGCCAGGAAGAUCAAGCUGGUAGCAGCAACCCUUCUGUCCCCACCACGUCCUUCCCAGGAUCUAGUAACAGAACGGCUGCUUUUUUAAUUGUUGCCUUGUCCUGAGCACCGCUAAUAGUCUUUGCUCCUCUUCCUUUCCAUCUGCGCUCAUGAAUAGUGGAUUUAGUGGCCUGAGAAGUGAGGAUUGGGUCCCCAUAGCACAAAGAUUAGACUUCUCAUCUUAAUCAAAUGAAAACAUAUGUACAUCUUUGAAUGCUUAUCUGACUUUCUAGCAACAUUAGCAGAUGCAGACUUUUCUUACGAGUAUUAGCAUGUCUUAGCACAGGAUCAGUUUAUUACUCUAAAAAAAUCCACUCCUAUUUGACCACGCUCUUUAGUUUACAUAAGCUCCCCGGAUGGUAAUUUUACAUUGUAAAAACCUUCCUUUUCCUCCUAUCAAGCCUCCUAUUAUUAUUAUUAAUAUCAUCCAUACUGACAAUUUUCCAGAAUCGUAAUGUAUUUGUAUUAGCUAUGCUUUCAGUUGCCCCAGCGUAGGUUACUUUCUGUUGUCAUAAAUACCACACAAGCACAUCCAUAAAUAAUUUGCAGACAUUAUAUCUUUUCCAACAUACUGCACAGCUUUUUAGCAAUCACGGUGGUGCUGAAGUGGAGAAAUGCCAAACUAUAAACCUUCAUUCAAAUGGUAUAAAUGUGUUUAUCCUGAAGAAGUCUAUUGUCUUACCUAAAGUUAGAUUGUAGCAUACGUAUUAUAUGAAAGGUAAGCAAAAUACUACUGGCAACAGCAGUUACAGUAACGGUGUUCUAAGGGAAUUAAAGUAGGCCAGCAUGCUCUGUGUAACCCUUUUUUUGUCGCAUCUCUCUUAUUCCUGUUUUUUUGAUACAUAUAGGAAAUGAGUUUUGUGAAUGCUUUUAUAUUAUUGUUAUUAUAUUAUUAUUACUAAAUGCCCCUUGCUAACUGAUAGGAUUCUGCAGUCACUUUUCAGUGUUCUAAUAUGUACAGUGCGUAUGGUUGGUUUGUCUUGUUCACAUGCACAGGGCUAAGCUGGGUAUGAGGUCAGGAGGAAAUCUUUGCCUUGUAUCAGAAACGUACAAGGGAGGAGAGUGCUUUUCUAGCACUGUAGUGUGGAAAAAAACUUAUUUACCAGUGUCAUCUGGGGGUGAUAGGAGAGAGGGAUUAAUAUGCUUAUAAGGAAGGCAUGUGGGUAUAGAAGCAGUGAUGGGGUAUAUGGGUAGAACUGAAGAUCAGUGUAUGGGAGUAAAGAUUUAGGGGCAGAGGUCAGAACAGGAUUCCUGUAGGAGCUGGAGAGGUCACAGCUGGAUAAAUGCAUUGGGGUCAGCUGGAAGUCAGUACCCCAAACGUGGCUAUAGCUCUGCCACAUCCUCACUGCACACUUUCCCUGUCUGUUCUCUCCUGUGUCUUCUGGAAUCCCAGCUUCUUGUCUGAUUGUGAACUGGAAACCUUACUUUCCUGCUUACUCCAGAAACAAGGAUACACACACAAGUACAGAAGGCCCCUCAAACCCCUCCCAUUGGAAGCCUCUCUUCUUACUGUUCUUUCUAUGGGAUUCUGCAAUGUAGGUACAGCCAGGUGAGAAGUGGGCGCUGGGAGCAAAAUAAUGCCUCUGCUUCGCCUCUUCGUUUGCAUCUUCUCCAAGUGGGAUGUAUCCCAUCAUUAGAAAUCUGCUCGUCAAAGAGGAGUUCUUUCAUUCUUUUUCCCCCCUAUUCGUUAGAAUGUGACAGGUUUUUUUUUCUAUGUGGUGAAAUACAGUUUUUUGAUAAUGUUUGUCUUACCAAGAAGCACAACAGUUCGGGAUUUCUAGAGCCUAAUCUCUUCUAAUUCACAAUUCUUUGUGAUCCAGGACCUUCUUAAAAAGAAAGAAAUCCAGUGGGUGAGUGCAGCUACUGCUGAUACUGUCAGCCUUCUGACAGCAUGCCUCGUUUUUUCAAUUACUAUUUUGCAGCCCACUUAAAAAUUGUUCAUAAAACCUCAAGAGUCUGCAGAUUGAGAGCCACUUUCUAAGGGGGUAUCUUUAAAUGCACGUUACUGUGUUGGUGGGGUUUUUUAAUUCAGGUGUUGGGUCUUCUAUCCCAUCUGUGAAACACCAAGUGUUGAUAACCAUCUGUGAAACAACAUUUGAUGUAAUGGCUACGACACUGCUUUAGAAAGCUUGUGAAAUAGAUUGCCUGGUUAGAAGAGCUGGCAUCUAAAAAUGUAUGUCAUGGACACAGGUAAUAAAUGUUGCUUGGGAGCUGUUACAGGGGAAAAAGAACUUAAUUUGUGUACGAUAUACUGGUCUUAACUUCUUAGCUUUUUAAGAUGUCUUUCUAAGUAUCCUGCUGUAUGCUCGUAAAGUAUUUAAAGAUACGAGUCAUUGCAUUUGCUGAAGUAUUCAGUGCAUCAUUUAAAAUGACUACCAAAGGAGAGAGGUGGAUUCACUUCACAUAACAGCUAAGCAUAAAAAUAAUGAUUCAGAAAUGAUCGUGUGGUUCCAGAUCAGUAAAAAUCAUUUUGUUUUUCUGUACAAGCAGAGCUCUGCACAGAACGGUGAUCUCAUUCUACCUUGUCAGAUUACAGUUCCCUACACAGAUUUUCAGUACUAAACUUUAUUCUGGUGAUUUUGUAACUUUAUUCAGAAAAAGGGGGAAAUAUAAACACUAAGUAAUCGCUCUUUGGUCCGUGCUAAAAGAUUGCAUGCACAAGCUUAGUGUUUCCCCCCAGGAUUGGAUCCGUAGUCCUUCAAGUUUUGCUAUUACAGGGAAUGUGCAGGUGAAUAGGGAAAAGCAAAUGUGAAAGGAAAGAAAUCAGACGGAGAGGAGGAAAUUUCCCUUCCUUUACAGAAGGAGGGGAAAGAUGCAAGACGGUGUAAUGAGCGCAGGAGAAGUAACAGGGUGGAAAGGGAGGAAUAAUGUUUAGUGCUCAGACUUGUUAUGCUUUGUGCUUGCAUGGAAGGCAGACUGAGACUUCAGCUUUCUGACUAACUGCUGUGCUGAGCCGUACUUUACUCCAUGUGCAUUUUUGCCUUAGCGUGGCUGCUUCUAAAGAAGGCUUGAAAUUAUCUUUCUGAGGCAACCUAAAUCACAAAGUGUAUUAUCCUGCUAGAAAAUAAUGUCUACCCCAAUGUUCUGUCUUCCUAAUCUAGUAGUCUAAAAACACUGCUGGAAACACAAAUAAUAAAAAAAGCCAGCUGUAUGUGUAUUUGCUGUUGUCAAUUCCACUCACUGGCAUUCGGGGCAGGGGACAGGCAUGCAGAAAGGCUGUAACACUGAACAGUGGCAAAAAUUCUGUGCAAAACCUUGUUGUAAUAACGAUGGAAGUGAAAACUGGCCUCAUUUAUCAAGUCGUUUUUUUGGUCAAGUUCUUGUCCACACCACGUUUGAGGCUCUUCAUUCUAGAUGGAACACUUAUAGCCAGUACUUUAUGUACCGUACUCAAAGAGCAAUAUGAAAUAUAAGUGAUUGUCUAAAUCAAGAAGAGGUUUAUCUAUUAUCUCUACAUCAGUUUGUCAGAACUUAAAUGGAAAGGGAGACCGAACGGAAAACUAUAAAUAUAUUAAAAUAUAUUAUAAAAAUAGAAAUACAUAAACCUUAACUGCUAGUUUAUCAUCAUUCAACUGGACUAGGCAAAGUCACCUCAUAAGCAAGUGUAGGUAUAGAUCAACAGACUACUCACAUGAGCCUUCAUUACAGGGUAGCCAUCAGCAUAUGGAUUUCAUCCGUAAUCUGUAAUAAAAUAACAUAAAUUAGGAAGAUGGCAAAAAAAGGUUUAAUUCAUUAGUUUGUUCAUUUAUAUGUUUACAUAUUUCUAAAGAGUACAUAUGGCCUUAUAGCAGAGUCAAUAGGGAAAGCAUAGGGUUUUUUUAACUGCACAAUUAAUAUUUAUAUAGCAAGUAGUCCUAGUCUCCGUGAGUUAUAAUGCUAAAAGCUUGUUUAUUUUUAAACAAACCUCCUGUUUUCUUAUAUUCACUUGAUGCUAUGCAUAAAACACCUUAGCUGUUCACCUGAGCACCACACCAGUGUCACUGAGCCCUAAGCUGAUGCAUAGCAGAGUGCAUCCCUGCGAAACUGGGGACAGAAAUGGGUGGUACAGGGACAGCAUUUAUGGUGCCAAUUCACAAUUCAUUUUUGGGUGGUAACAUCUACUUCUUGGAAGGCAGAAGAGCUCAGUAUUAAUUUCUACUAAUAGAAAGGUACAGGUCUUCAAAAGAAUUACACUCCCGUGUUGCAGGAUUCGUUUUCAUGCAUAGUGUCUGUGCCAUUGCACAGGAGAAUCUGGACAGCAGUCUGUAAGAGUAACGGUAAGAAGACUGAAAAACUGAUGUAGCUGUGCUCUGUUCAUUCAAAAAGGAAAUUGAAAUUAAAAGCAGACACAACUUUGAGAAGUUCUAGGUAACAGACUUCAUGCCGUAUGUUACAUUUAGCCGCUACCGUUAUGUUGUUUUGCAUUAACAUUGUACUAUUUUCCAUCAAAAGUCUGCAAUUCUUUAGGUGAUGUAAACUCUUCAGUGCAGAGUCGUAUUUCAAGCAGGGUAAUAUUUAGCUUUUAAAGACAUCUUUUUAAUUGCAUUGACAGAUCCAUGUUGUCCUUACAUAACAGGCAGGAUUGGGGUGACUGUAUCCUGGAAUAGUCAUUACAAACAUGGUAUGUGCAAGGCCAUUGCAUGCGCAGGUCUCCAAGGUGGUAUGAAUUGCACAGUCCCGGGAUUACGUCUCAGACUCUCUAUACAGAAAAGUGCACACUGUGAACACUGUCCCAUUGGGAUGUAUUGCAGAUUCCCCAGAGCGGUGCUCAGGAGGAAGCUGCUUUUCCCAUCCUCUUUUCUGACUACUUAUGCUUUGGUACCGCAGUUCUCUAAGAGCAGUGUUGUGCUUUUGCAUCAGGGCUGGCAAUCUGGUGAAGGUGGGAUAAAGAGGUUAUCCCUUCAGACUUGCUCCUGGAGCUUCUGCAAACAGACAGGACUAUGUAUCAACAUUAAAACCACCCCUCCAUCCUUGACUCCUGUCUUUAAUUAUAGCUCAUUUAAAGCAACCAUUAAAAUCCAAGUAUCCUAUUUGUAAAUAAUCACUGAAUUGAAUGGCAAAUGACUGAAAUAUCAGCAGUGCCAUUUUAAGUAUCAGAUGCAUGUGAUAUUUCCUCAAUCACAUUCUUAAUCUUGGGAAUAUAGAAUCCCAGUCACGCCAAGCUUUGACUUUAGAUCACAGGAGUUAAGCUUAAGGCCCCAGCAGUACAUAAAUAUGCCUAAGAGAAGAGCAAACUUAACUUUGACUGGAUCAGAAUAAUUUUUUUGUGUGUGUGCUCAGUAUAUUAAUGUUUGGUAAAUAUAAUUAAACAACAACAACAGCUGCAAAAAUCCACAGCACAAACAUACUGCAUGUUCUGUGCAGAUGAAAGCUGUUGGUAAAUUCUGCUUGUUCAGAAUAAAGGAAGUUGAAAAUGUGCUCUCUUUCAUAUUACUUUAAUCUUAGUGUCGUUACCUGUAAGUAUUCAGCACAUCUAUGCUUGUAGAAACCUAGUGAAUUUUGAGAAAUUAACAACAUUCCAAAGACAUGGUUCAGAGUCUGAGAUGUAGGCCUUAGGAUGGGAUGAAUCGCCCUCUGGAGGUGCCCGUUUCAGUCUACUGGCUUCACAGGGAUCCUGCCUUGCACUGCCUGGCUUAAACUAAAAGCUAAGUGAGUGGACUGUCACCAGAGGAGAGGAAUAACUAAGCCAUACUGGGUCUUUUCUGUAGACCUUUCUGUUUGUUAAGAAUAGCUACCUUUAUUUGUCACUGUUCUUCUUGCACCAUUUAUCAAAUGAGUAAGUACAGUUGUUACUGCCACUAUUUCCUGUGCAUUUCCUGUUUGUUUUUUCCUUUUCCUGUCUCUUUUCAUCUUAUUAUCUUAUCUUUCUCUGUCUUUUUAUCUUUCCCUGGCUUUUUUUAGCUACCAUCUCUUCCGACGCUUCUCAUUCUCUCCCUCUCUGACCACUCUGCCUCCCGUCCUGACAGCACUGUCCUAACUCCCCAUCUGGAUGACUGCUGACCAUUCCCUCUGAUGCUGACAUCAGUAUUUUCUGUGAGAGAGAGUACUGUAGUGAAGAGACAGAAAAAGAAGAAGAUGGCACUAUUGUGAUUUUGUUGUUGUAUGGCUUUGAAUCACCUACAAGUAUUGCUGCGACCGCAAAUUAAGUGUGCUGGUUUCCCAAUGAACUUGUAAUUUCAAGAUGUUUGUAGAAAUGUAAAAUCAAACGUGAACCGCAUUAAAGUCAUUUAAAUUUAACAAAAUAUAGCACUAGUCUUCUUUUAUUUUUAAUAUGGAGACCUACGUGGCUCACUUGCAGAAAGUGGGUUAUAUUUUAAAAGCUGUGGACUGGCAAGUUCUGACUUACUAAAGCAUAAAAUCAUUGUCCUCCUCCCUGUGGCAGUAGUUUCUUUAUUCAGACCCACUGCUUAAAGAUCUCUCCUGUUGUUUCCUUCUCUAUCUUCUCCUUUUUUACUUCCUUUUACUAGCUUGAGUUUCCUGUUCCUUUUUGCACCGAACUUUCCUAAGUCUCUUGGUCCAAAACCAGUCCCUUUUUCUCUCACGUAUACGUCCAUCAGCCUAAACUAC